AGAGCGGUGAUGAGCAGCUAACAUGUAAGAAGAACCACUGCAAGUGGUAUCUUUGAUGAAAUAUGCUUGUUACGCUUGGCUUCUGAGCUUU